UCCCUGAAGUCUUUCUUUUUGAAAAAGGAAAUAGGUUCUUCAAAUGCUUUCUUUAAAAAAUCCUGAGCGUAAUGGCACACACAAGUGAAACGCGAUGGAGGGCGAAAAAGGUGUUCGUUCCACCGUUUCAUUCACCUGCUCAUUUAGUUACCGUAGUAACUCAAUCUCGCUUCUGACAUCCUCGGAAUAUAAAUCAUGCAAUUAAUUGGAAGUAAUUUCAGAAGGGUAGCUUUCAAGAUGGCGUCUCGAGGAGAUCUGGCGGCUCGUCCGUCGCUGGUCAUGCCUAGAAACGUUCAUUCACCCCUGUAAGACACUUUAUUAGGAAGAUGGAAUUAAAAUAGAUCACAGCAAACCAACCUCCCUACUCUCCAAGACUCAUGGAGGCUACAGCGAGAAUCUGGAUAUUUUGUGCCUUAGUUUGCAUCUAAGUCAAGACCUGGCUAUGGAACCAGAUAUUUGGGGAGUCAUGCAAUACGGAAUUGGCAUAAUAAGUGACACUAGCUCAGGGUUCCUCUCAUCCCAAAUUGACCUCAAAUGAAUUGGUGGCACUUUACCUAUGUUUCUGAGUUCACAACUUAUAAUGUCCACUUUGCUAAUUUAUUAUUGCAACUGUUUUUAAUUCUAUGUUUUUAAUAAGUGUGUUUCAUUUUUCUGAUCAAUGUUUAAAUAUUAUAACUGGUGCAUGUUGUUGUUUAUUGAUGUAUUGUACAUCGUUAUUGUUUUGUAUCCGAUAUUUCUGUGAUCUGCCCUGAGUCCCCUCCGGGGAUAUGGCGGCGGUAUAUAAAUAAACUUAUCAUCAUCAUCAUCAUCAUCAUCAUCAUCAUCAUCAUCAUCAUCAUCAUCAUCAUCCUCAUGUAGCAGCAUGAAUGACGACUACAGGACUAGGUGUUAUGUUUUUAACAGGUUAAAUUGUAUUGAUAUGCUUUAUUUGUUUUUACUGCUAAUGCUUUGUAUUGUAUAUUUGCAUUUGCAAUGUGGCAUUAAAUAUUGCCAAACUGUAAGCUGCUCUGAGUUCCCUUCAGGGUGAGAUAUAGCAAGAUAGAAAUAUAGUAAAUAAAUAAAUCUACACUGCAAGAUUAAUACAGUUUUGGACCACUCUGGCUGCCAUGGUUUGAUGCUAUGGAAUCAUGGGACUUGUAGUUUUACAAAGCCUUUGUCAUUCUCUAUCAAAGAGUGUUAGUGCCUCAUCAAACUGCAAAUGCUAGGAUCCCAUAACAUUGAGCCACGGCAGUUCACGUGUUGCCAAACUAUAUUGAUCAGGAAUCUGUAAAGCUGUCUUUUAGCACUAUUUUUCACAUGAAUUGCAUUCAUACCGCUAAUUUUUUUCUUCGUAUUUUGAUUUUUAGUGUGUUCCUAGGGUUCUUUCGGGCACUGAUUCAAAAAUUGCAUUGGAUAGACUGCACCAGCUCUUGUUUCUUAUUGGUUAUCCUGGUGAACAAUGGUAUAUGGUAUAAAAUCCCAACGUUUCUGCAGCGGAAUAUUUUGUAUAAGAGAUACUUAACAUGUGUAACCUUUUAAACAUCUUUCAUCUCCACUAAAAUAUAUAUAUAUUCUAAAGUCAAUGGAUAUUAUUUUAUUACUUAUUAUUCUAUUUUUCUCCUGAUAUAGGGACUCAAGGUGGUCUUUCUCACUCAGGACUAGCCCACCUCAAAUCUUCAUUUACUUGAUUUAUAUUCCUCCCAACCACCCCAAACAGGACCCAAAGCAAUGUUUGAUAUAACUUAAGACAGAACAUUUAAGACAAUAUGAAGUACAAAAGUCUGAAAGAGCAACGGGUAUUCAAACUACUUCUUUUAAUAUCCUGAAUUGAGAUAUUGCAUGGUAGCAAUUACCUUCUUUUGGACCCUAAUGCCAACGUGUCCUCCUGUUGCCAAUCUCUCUAUUAACUGUGUCGUUUGUGAUGCCUUUGGCACUUCAAACAUUAUCCUUCAGCCGUGUGUCAGCCCAUUGCUCUGGCGGACAAUGGGAGAUGGAAUGGCAUCAAUCAAAAUUGAGUAUUAUUUCACUGCCUGACACCUGUUAUAACUUCUGCUGGGCUGGAAAUGCCAACAAGAGAGCUCCUGUUGUUAUUGGGAAGGUUAAUAAACUCUUCAAGUGCUUCCAAGUCAAGGAAAUCCUUGCCUGAUUGCCACAAUUAUCUUAAUGCACAGAUAACCCCUAUCUGCUUCAAUGCUUUCCCAGCUGAUCAAUGCGAUCAUGUCUUACGGGAUGACAAAAAUACUCGCGACACUUGCAAAGAUGAUAUGUUUUGGGUCACCAUUUAAUCCUCAAGGGUUGACUUUAAUUUUGGCCUACGUCCUAUUUCUAGAGGCAGCAAUUUCAAACAAAGGCGAGCUGUAAUAGGACAAGAUAUUACAGUUGUGUGAAGUCAGUCUAGAUCAGGGGUCCCCAAACUAAGGCCCAUGGGCCGGAAGCGGCCCUCCAAGGUCAUUUACCUGCCCCCUGUCCUAAACUUCAGACUUAGGGUUGACCUCUUUGCUUAGUUAUGGUCUUAUGAGAUCGUCUAGAUGGUCUUUGAAGGUCUCUUUGCUUAGCUACGGCCCUAUGAGACCAUCUAAAUAGCUUUUGGAGGUCACUUUCCUUACCUAUGGUCCUAUGUCUAGAUGGCCUUUGAGGGUCCCUUUCCUUACCUAUGGUUUUAUGAAAUUGUCUAAAUGGUCUUUGGGGGCCCCUUUCCUUACCUAUGGUCUUAUGAAACCAUCUGGAUGGUCUUUGAGGGUCCCUUUCCUUACCUAUGGUCUUCUGGUGGCCUUAUGAGAUCAUCUAGAUGGCCUUUGAGGGUCCCUUUCCUUACCAAUGGUCUUAUGAGACCAUCUAGAUGGCUUUUGGAGGUCUCUUUGCUAACCUAUGGACUUAUGAGACCAUAUAGAUGGUUUUUGGAGGUCUCUUUGCUAACCUAUGGACUUAUGAGACCAUCUAGAUGGCUUUUGGAGGUUUCUUUGCUAACCUAUGGUCUUAUGAGACCAUCUAGAUCAGGGGUCCCCAAACGAAGGCCCGUGGGCCAGAUGCAGCCCUCCAAGGUCACUUACCUGGCCCCUGUCCUAAACUUUAGACUUAGGGUUGACCUAAGUCUGAAACGACUUUGAAGGCACACAACAACAACAAUCCCAAUUUUGGACUAUCUCAUCCUAGUCCGGCCCCCCAGCAGUCUGAGGGACUGUGAGUCUGCCCACCACUUAAAAAGUUUGAGGACCCCUGGUCUAGAUCAUACACAUAAUGUUUACUAAAGUUGAAAGGAGGUGCAGAAGUAAGGUCUUGGCCAUCUUGAGACACUAAUGGUCUUCUUUCCAAAAAAGAAAAGACAAAAAGCCAUAAAAAUGAAACCGAUCCAGAGACGAAAAAUCCAAACAUAAGUCCAAGAGUCCAAAGAAUGCUGAAAGCCUGAUAGAACAAACAGCUACGAACAUUAACAACUCCCAGAAACUACGAGUACUUACUGGAAGAAGGUUUAUAUCCAUGUAACCACGAGACAAGAGGUGGACAUCAAAGUAUAUCAAAGAAUCAUUGCAAAUUCCUAUAGAGACUAUAUUUCCCCAGGUGCAUUAAAAUGGAAAUGUGGAUUUCAGUCCUGCACUUCCAGGAAACUUACUAAUUUUUUCCUUGCUAUUGAGAAAACCAAAGUACAGCUUUCCUUUUUUAUCAUAUAGUCAUCAAAACAUGUAUCAUUAUAGGGAAUUUUGCAAGAAUGUGCAUGUUUUAGGGACUCUGAGUAAAAUUCCUGAGGCUCUUCUUUAGCAGAGAGCUGUGAACAUGUCUAAAUGAAAAGGCACAUCCUAUGAUAUUUGGGAUGCAAGAUGCCUCAUUGAAUCUUGAUGUAUAGGUAUAAUAGGAAAGCUUUUGAUGCAAGGUAACUAUCGAUUGCUUAAUGCUUUAGUAAAUACCACAGAGAAGGCAAUGUAAUUACUCAUUUAUGCUCUCUUCUCAGCCAGUGCAUAAGAGAAGGGGACAAAAUGAGUUGGCACGAUUAAUCUCUGAGCAAUUACAAAAUCAGAAAGUCUCUUACGGCAAUGGCUGUCCGGCUAAUUGUGAGCAAUUGUUUUCUCAAAGGUUCCUGGAAUUCCUAAACUGCAUGUCAAGAGGCCUUCAUGGGAAGAGGCAACACGGACAUUUGCCUGCCUGACAUGUGUUUAAUAUGGCAUGCCUAUUAAGGGCAUUUAAAGUCAACUUUUCCUCCAUAGAGCAGAGAUGUGGGCCGGGCUGUGGCGCAGCUGGCUAGUAACCAGCUGCAAUAAAUCACUACUGACCGAGAGGUCAUGAGUUCGAAGCCCGGGUCAGGUUAAGCCCCUGACCAUUAAAUAGCCUGGCUUGCUGUUGACCUAUGCAGCCCCGAAAGACAGUUGCAUCUGGCAAGUAGGGAAAUUUAGGUACGCUUUAUGCGGGAGGCUAAUUUAACUAAUUUACAACAUCAUAAAACUGCCAGCAAAACACGAGGAAAGGAAUGAGGAAGUACAGCCACUACUGGACAGUGAAGCAACAGCUCCCCCUGUGGCCGGAAUCGUGAAGCUGGAAAAAAAAUGUUAAAUGCCUCUGUGUCUGUCUAUAUAUGUUGUUUGUCUGUUGGCAUUGAAUGUUUGCCAUAUAUGUGUUCAUUGUAAUCCGCCCUGAGUCCCCUACGGGGUGAGAAGGGCGGAAUAUAAAUACUGUAAAUAAAUAAAUAAAUAAAUAAUGUGAUUCUUUAUUAUAUUAAUGCAAUUAAAGUUAGGCUUAUGCAAUUUGGCUGGAGGGUAAUCCGUUUUUGAUAUCCAAAUUUUGUUGGGUAUCCAGAUCCAUUUUUGGGAGUCUCCCAAAUAUCGGUUAAUGGAAAAAUCUAGACAGGUGAAAGAUCCAGGAAGAUUCAGCUCAUUGGCAGCAAUGGGAAACUUAUGAGGCUCCCCUUUUGUUGCACCCCAAGGCAGGGCGAGCACUCGAAAACCAGACAGGAGCCAAUAUAACACACAAGCCGUUUAUUGAAGCAAAAUAUAUAUCUAUGCGGAAUUAAGGAAGAAAGUCAGAGUAAGAAAUAGUUUAUAUAAAGUCAAUUGUAGUUCAAAAUGGGUUUAGAAAUGUCCAAAUUGUAAUCCAUAAAUGAAAACUCGAUAGUUUCUUCUAAGAAAAUCAAAGUUUGUCCAUGAAACAAUAGCAGGAACAUAGCACUGCAAAUCUGCAAACUCCAAAUCCACUCGAAACGUCUCGUAGCAGGAUCAAGAAAACAAGGUAAACAAGGCAGAGUCAAUCUUGAUUCAGGAAUAAGGAAAACUUGGUAUAAGGAGAGGUCUACUCGAGAGUCGCGGCAUGGCUCGCCUGGAACUGGAAACUUGGCAUGGAUACAGGAGACAAGACAAGGAGUCUAGGACCCACAAAACUUCUCAUGGGAAAGUUAGCCAUUAUCCAAUUUGAGAGCUAACCUUCGACUCAGUCUCACUCCCUCUCUCCUGCUCCUAUCUUUUGUAAUAAAUUCCUUCCGAUUAAAAGUCUCAUCUGCACCCAGGUCAACACCAUCUGGUGUAGGUAACAAUAAGGAGACGUCAGAAUGUUCUCCAAUUAGCGGUUCUUCUGAAACAACGAUAUCAGGCAGCUACAAGACCAAGGGGCCUCUAUCCAGGGCAGAAAUGUUUGCAAAAUCCGCAACAUCAUCUGUUUCCAACUCCAUCUCUUGAUGGAAUACAGGCCAUGAUGAGCUGCUACACCUUUCCAUUCCUGGGAUCCUUUCCUUUCAUACUUUCAAUGGAUCCUGGGUUUGAGGGACAAGGUUAAGGAAGCAUCCUUCCAUCCCUAGAGCCAGGAUGCAACUGAGAGCAAUGGAAGCACUUGGCCCAUUAAAUAGACACAGCUUGCGUAAGACACGUCAUGGUGUUCUUCUAUUCUGAUUGGGCCAACAGGCAGGGAUCACAGGGCCGGUGCCGUGUGAUGCCGAAUAGGAGAGGCAGAGCUGUGACCGGCUGUUGUGUGGCCCGUUUCAGCCAAAGAAAACAUGAUAGCUGAGCCCUUGCCAUUACGGCAAGCCAAACAAGCUGAACAAGGCAGAAUGGCCGAAGAAAACCGACCAAACCGAAUCUACACACAAGCCUAUUUAACAUUACUUUAACUGCCAUUGUUCAUUGUAUCAAAUUUGUGAAUGUAGUUCCAGCUCUACCGUAAGAUGACCUAUAGAACAAGCCCAACUUUCUGUUCCACAAAAAUAUAGUUUCUUUAGUUUCUUCAUCCUGUCUAAAUCAAAGAAACAUGAACCCAGAGAUAGAUUAUUCUUUCCCAGGCCCCUGAAUAAAAUCCCACCUUAUCUGCUUUGAACUGGAAUAUAUGGCAGUGUGGACUCGCAGUUGAAAUCACCACAAGCAGAGUCACUCUGUGUAAGCAAUUAGGCACUAUAGAUAAGUUCAUUGUUGCUGAGUAUACCAACACCUGAAGAUGGGGAUUUUCUCCCCGAAACAGGGUACAAAAAUACCCGGGAACCCCUAUAGACUUGGGACUUUAUUUGGACUUUACUUGCGAAGACUUUUUUGAGAGCGGUGCUCCAUCAUUAUUUUCUUCAUUCCAGUAUACAGCAACAUGACCAACUGUUUGUUUACUUUGUUUGGAAGAUAUUUUCAUUGACUAUGUAUCCCUGAAGCCUAUAUACAUUGGAACCAAAUAUCAGACUUGGAUACUUUUGUGUUAGAGCUGUUGCUCCUUUUCAUUUUGUCUGGUACUGCCAAAUUGAGCUUUGUACAGGGAACUUUAAUAACAAUAUAUGCUACUAGCUGUGCCCGGCCACGCGUUGCUGUGGUGAAGUAUGGUGGUAUGGGAAAUAAAGUAUUGAGGAAUUGGUGAAAUGCCUGACGUGGAUUAUAUGGUAGUGUGGAGUCAAGAUAAUCCAGUGCAAAGCAGAUAAUAUAAGAUUAUAAAUGGGUUACAUAGCUGUGUGGAAGGGCCUUGAGUCUACACUGCCAUAUAAUCCAGUGCAAAUUAGAUAAUCUGUGGAAGAGGCCUAAGUGAGGCCUAAAUCUGCCUGUCCCCUAACUGAACCCUGGCUGUCCCUUGGCUAAGUUGGUUGCUAGGAGACCAAGUGGGCAGAGAUUAGCCCUCUAAACUGGCACAAUUGGAUAAAAACAUUUAUUGCUCUCCCUCUAAUUAGGACUUUAUUUUUCUUUUCUUUUUGUUGUAUCAACCUAGAGGCAUGGAUGAUGGGUUGUGUUGUCAAAUUUCGAGGUUGGGGGGCCUGUAGUUUUGUUGUUUUGUCUGGUGCCCUGAUUCCAUCACUCUUUUAUAUAUAUAGAUUUGGACAUAUUUUCUUUGUACAUAGACCAUCUUGCGUUUGUGUAGACCCUGAAUAAAAUCCCACAAUAUCUGCUUUGAACUGGAAUAUAUGGCAGUGUGGACUCAGAUAACCCAGUUCAAAGCAGAAAUUGUGGGAUUUUCUGCCUUGAUAUUCUGGGUUGCAUGGCUGUGUGAAAGAGCUCCCAGCCUCCUGUUUAAGCGAUGCAAAUGUUUGUUGCUGUUGUAUUUCUUCCAUUUGUUUCUGACUUAUGCUAACUGCAAUGACUCAAUGUACCUAAACUUCCAGCAGCAGUCUUCAUUUCAGUUGGGAUCACUGUUAGCCGUGGUUCCCUGUUUCCGUGGGAUGUUCAGGAACGUAUUCCCUGCAGAUACGGGGGUUGAACGGAAUUGCCUCGGGGCCAGCAAUCACAGUUUUUCUGUGGGAGGCCAGAAAAAGAUGUUGUCAAAACCUGUGAUCAAUCUUCCUUCCAUCUUUCCUUUUAUCUUCUGUAAACCAAUUUGCCAUCAAUAAAUCCCAUUUAUGGUGCUGCAGUGAUCAUCGCAGAGUAGCAUUGUUUUUAGCACUUCCGACAGUAUACCCCUGUUGUUAGACUCCGGGGAGAGUCUUUAUUACAGCAGAAGACAACAAAACAAAAAUAAAAAAAUAAAAUAAAACAAGAGAACACUAAUGUAUGCAAGAUCUGUUGUAGCAAUGCAAGCUAAAUUAAGAUAGUAAAAUUCAGAGGAACAAACUACCACCCACCCAGAGGGUGAGCUAUAGCUCUCUCCCAAGUACAUUAUGGCUAAUCUCCCUGCAUUCUCAAAUUAAGUUUGAAAUUGAAAGGGUUUUACAAGGACAGCAGUAUCCUAUGCCCGGUGGUAUAAUUUGGGGUGUCAGAAAGAAAUUUGUGGCGAGAACCCAUUAAAAGAAUGAUUUGUACACUUAGAAGUAGGUGGUCUAUUGGCACCAUAGGAAACCCAGGGAAAUUCACAUGCUGGCAGCUGGUAAACAAUCUGGAACGAUUCUUUCCUAGGAAUUAUUAACUCAGAGAGGAAAUGUAAUAAGGAAUGAAAAGGCCUUGGCUGAGCUUUGAGCAGAAGGAGAAGAAAUGAUCUGCUGAAAUGCUUUGGAGAGAGGCAGAAGAAAUGACAAGAGCCACCACUUUGAUCUUCUGCAAGAUGCACGUUUGGAAAUUGUGAGGAGUAGUGGUUGAAAGUAUGUUUGAAAAUAUUUGGGAAAUGGCAAAAAAAUAUGGGUGAUUUUGAAUGUCAAGAAACUCUAAUGGGAAUCUUAGAUUACUUGUGGACUGGAGAUGCAACCAUGAACUUACAAGACUUGGACUGCUGAUGACCAGGGAUCAUGGGUCCCAUCUACAUAGACUUUUAAUGCUGUUUGAAACUCUAUUAUAUUGUCAGUGUAGACUCAUAUGAUGCAGUUCAAUGCAGUCCCCUUGAUCUGGUCAUGUAAGUGUGAUUUAUUGUUAUAACUGUAUUAUUUUACUUUGUUUAAUAAUGUGUAUUAUGUUGUUAUGAAAUGUUUGUGUUGCUUUUAUGACUGUAAACCGCCCUGAGUCCCAUCCGGGAGAUAGGGCAGUAUAUAAAUAAAGUUUUAUUAUUAUUAUUAUUAAACUACAUGACAUGCACCUACACUUAACCAUAUGGUGCAGUUUCAAAUUCCAUUAUAUGGCCGUGUAGAUGGAGCCAUGGAAGUCUUUUUCUUCUUCUUCUUCUGUGAUUCAUAUGUUAUUUGAGUGAUUAUAUUGCUUCUGUUUAUGUGAUUGUCUUAGUCAAUUGUUAUGUGGGGAGUUUUUUUGUAUUUUUAUAGCAUUUUAUAGUGUUUUCUGUGUUUUAUUGUACAAUGUUUUAUGCUGAUUUUAUAUUGGAAACCGCCCUGAGUCCCUUUUGGGAGAGAGGGCGGUAUACAAAUAAACUUUUACUUACUUACUUA